rnacentral:rRNA from 1 species
CAAUAGCGUAUAUUAACGUUGUUGCAGUUAAAAAGCUCGUAGUUGGAUUUCUGGAGGGAGCGUCGGCCCGUAUUUACGAGUGCGUGACGUCUCUGUCCAUCCUUGCGGGAAGGCACGGCAUUGAUUUGUUGUGUCGGAUCGCAUCAUUUACUGUGAAAAAAUUAGAGUGUUCAAAGCGGGCUUUCGCUUGAAUACAUUAGCAUGGAAUAAUAAGAUAGGACUUUGGUGCUAUUUUGUUGGUUGAGCCUAAAGUAAUGAUUAAUAGGGAUAGUUGGGGGCACCUGUAUUGCGUUGUCAGAGGUGAAAUUCUUGGAUUUACGCAAGACAAACAGCUGCGAANGNGUCUGCNAAGGAUGUUUNCAUUA